UUGUGGGGAAAGGGAGUUCAAACCUUUCAGAAGUCCCACACGUUCACAAAUUAAAAUACAAUAAACGACAAACAAAAAUAUUUAAUAAAAAGGUCACUAUGUCACAAUCGUUUCGAUAUGUAAAUCACCGUCUCUCACCGAGUAUAUAUAACAACACACGAGUCACAAUACACAAGCCCACAAAAUCUGUUUGUUAUUGUCAUGCUGCCCUAAUCACGUGAUUACUUUGCCCAAUCAUAAUUGUCUAUAUUCGUUUGUAAUGUAAUAUCCCUAAUUAAUCUAAAAUUUACUAUAAUUGAAUUAGUGCUAAAUAGUAAUAAGGUCAGUUUCCGACACA